rnacentral:rRNA from 1 species
GAUGAACGCUAGCUACAGGCUUAACACAUGCAAGUCGAGGGGCAGCAUGGACAUAGCUUGCUAUGUUUGAUGGCGACCGGCGCACGGGUGCGUAACACGUAUCCAAUCUGCCCGUUACUCGGGGAUAGCCUUCUGAAAGGAAGAUUAAUACCCGAUGGCAUGUAUUUCCGGCAUCGGAGAUACAUUAAAGAUUUAUCGGUAACGGAUGAGGAUGCGUACGAUUAGCUAGUUGGCGGGUAACGGCCCACCAAGGCGACGAUCGUUAGGGGUUCUGAGAGGAAGGUCCCCCANACUGGAACUGAGACACGGUCCAGACUCCUACGGGAGCAGCAGUGAGGAAUAUUGGUCCAAUGGUCGGAAGACUGAACCAGCCAAGUAGCGUGAAGGAUGACUGCCCUACGGGUUGUAAACUUCUUUGUUGGGAAUAAAGACGCUACGUGUAGCGUUCUGCAUGUACCUUACGAAUAAGCAUCGGCUAAUUCCGUGCCAGCAGCCG